rnacentral:rRNA from 1 species
GAUGAACGCUAGCGGCAGGCCUAAUACAUGCAAGUCGAACGGUGUCUUCGGACAUAGUGGCGCACGGGUGCGUAACACGUAUGCAACCUACCUUACAUUGGGGGAUAGCCUUUCGAAAGGGAGAUUAAUACCGCAUAAGACAGUAGCUGGGCAUCCAGCAGCUGUUAAAGAUUUAUCGAUGUAAGCUGGGCAUGCGUCCAAUUAGCUAGUUGGUGAGGUAACGGCCCACCAAGGCAAUGAUUGGUAGGGGAACUGAGAGGUCAAUCCCCCACACUGGCACUGAGAUACGGGCCAGACUCCUACGGGAGGCAGCAGUAGGGAAUAUUGGGCAAUGGACGCAAGUCUGACCCAGCCAUGCCGCGUGCAGGAUGAAGGCGUUAUGCGUUGUAAACUGCUUUUAUACAGGAAGAAACGACUCUUGCGAGGGGCAUUGACGGUACUGUAUGAAUAAGCACCGGCUAACUCCGUGCCAGCCGCCGCGGUAAUAC